rnacentral:piRNA from 1 species
UCGUUAUAUCAGACUGGAAUGAAGUGGCA